AUUCUGCCCAAGCGGGGAAGGAUGAGAAGCUUCAACCAAGGUUCGACUUGAGCGCCAGCGAGAGAGCGUUGCCGCAGGCAACGACCCGAAGGGCGAAGCGCGCAGCGCUGAGUAAUCCUUCCCCCACCACCA
rnacentral:sRNA from 1 species